AGUGAACGCUGGCGGUAGGCCUAACACAUGCAAGUCGAACGGCAGCACAGUAAGAGCUUGCUCUUACGGGUGGCGAGUGGCGGACGGGUGAGGAAUACAUCGGAAUCUACUUUUUCGUGGGGGAUAACGUAGGGAAACUUACGCUAAUACCGCAUACGACCUACGGGUGAAAGCAGGGGAUCUUCGGACCUUGCGCGAUUGAAUGAGCCGAUGUCGGAGUAGCUAGUUGGCGGGGUAAAGGCCCACCAAGGCGACGAUCCGUAGCUGGUCUGAGAGGAUGAUCAGCCACACUGGAACUGAGCCACGGUCCAGACUCCUACGGGAGGCAGCAGUGGGGAAUAUUGGACAAUGGGCGCAAGCCUGAUCCAGCCAUACCGCGUGGGUGAAGAAGGCCUUCGGGUUGUAAAGCCCUUUUGUUGGGAAAGAAAAGCAGCAGGUUAAUACCCCGCGGUUCUGACGGUACCCAAAGAAGAAGCACCGGCUAACUUCGUG
rnacentral:rRNA from 1 species